rnacentral:rRNA from 1 species
GACGAACGCUGGCGGCAUACCUAAUACAUGCAGGUCGAGCGAACAGAUGAAGUGCUUGCACUUCUGACGUUAGCGGCGAACGGGUGAGUAACACGUAAGGAAUCUACCUAUAAGCGGGGGAUAACAUUCGGAAACGGGUGCUAAUACCGCAUAAUAUCUUCUUCCGCAUGGAAGAAGAUUGAAAGACGGCUCUGCUGUCACUUAUCGAUGACCUUGCGGUGCAGUAGUUAGUUGGUGGGGUAACCGCCUACCAAGACGAUGAUGCAUAGCCGACCUGAGAGGGUGUUCGGCCAAAUUGGGGCUAAGACACGGCCCAAACUCCUACGGGAGGCAGCAGUAGGGACCCUUCCGCAAUGGGCGAAAGCCUGACGGAGCAAUGCCGCGUGAGUGAAGAAGGCCUUCGGGUCGUAAAACUCUGUUAUAAGAGAAGAACAAAUUGUAGAGUAACUGCUACAGUCUUGACGGUAUCUUAUCAGAAAGCCACGGCUAACUACGUGCCAGCAGCCGCCGUAA